rnacentral:rRNA from 1 species
UACGGAGGGUGCGAGCGUUAAUCGGAAUAACUGGGCGUAAAGGGCACGCAGGCGGGCUUUUAAGUGUGAUGUUAAAUCCCCGGGCUUAACCUGGGAAUAGCAUUUGAGACUGGGAGUCUAGAGUACUUUAGGGAGGGGUAGAAUUCCACGUGUAGCGGUGAAAUGCGUAGAGAUGUGGAGGAAUACCGAAGGCGAAGGCAGCCGCUUGGGAAUGUACUGACGCUCAUGUGCGAAAGCUUGGGGAUCAAACAGG